UACGUAGGGUGCGAGCGUUAAUCGGAAUUACUGGGCGUAAAGCGUGCGCAGGCGGUUCGUGAUGUCUGAUGUGAAAGCCCCGGGCUCAACCUGGGAACUGCAUUGGAAACUAGCGGGCUGGAGUGUGGCAGAGGGGGGUGGAAUUCCACGUGUAGCAGUGAAAUGCGUAGAGAUCCGGAGGAACACCGAAGGCGAAGGCAGUGUCCUGGCGAGUGACUGACGCUGAGGUGCGAAAGCCAGGGGAGCGAACGGG
rnacentral:rRNA from 1 species